rnacentral:lncRNA from 12 species
GGCCCCGACCCCGGGGCCGAUGCAGGACGGAGACGAGCCGCUUGGUGCCUCCGGGGCUCGGUCCUGGGCGCUGAGAGCAGCGGGGCGGGCUCCGCCUGGGGAUGGGCUCUCACCCGGGGCCCCGUCGGGCCGCCCCGCGCCGCCCCCGCCGCACCCCGAGGGCGGGGAACCCGCUGUUGGGCCUGCACACGCCGCAGGGGCCAGGGCGGGGGCGCGGGGGGCGGUGGACACGGGCCCGGGUGCUGUCGCCCGGCCCUGGGCUGCGGAAGCUGGGGAGGGCGGGGCCUCCGUGGGGCGGGGCCUCGGCGGGGCCGCUGGGGGCGGGGCCUCGGCGGGGCGGGGCCUCGGUGGGCGGGGCGGUUGGGGCGGGGCCUCUGGGGGCGGGGCCUCGGCGGGGCAGGGCUGCUGGUGGCGGGGCCGCUGGGGGCGGGGCCUCGGCGGGGCGGGGCGGGGCGGGUCCGCCGGGGCGGGGGGCGCGGAGCGAGGGCCCCCCUGGCCGGCCGUCGGGGCCUGCCAACCACCAAUCUGUAUCUAAUACGGAAACACUCCAGAAAUAGUUCUUCGACGCGGACCGUAGAUGGGCCCGUGCGGACGGUCCUCCGUGAGGCGGCCCCGCGGAGGGAAGGGCGCCGCGUGCUGCCUCCUGGGCCGCUGCUGCCGCCUCCUCCCUCCCCAGCCCCGGUCACCCCGGAUCCCGGCCGCGUGGACGCUGCUCCCGCCGCCCCCGAAGCUGCAGCCGCGCGGCCAAGUGCGGGCGAGACCUCUGGACCACCCGAGCCCUGCGUCCUCACCAGGCCCUGGUCGGUCACGUGUGGCCUGAGGUCGGAGCGGCAGCGGCAGGACGCUCCCCGCAGGUGUAGACACCUGGCAGGUGAGGCACGCCGGUCCCACGGAGCCCCAGACCGCUGCGAGAGAGGCCAGCGUUCCAGGGCUGCCCUGUGUCAGUCAGAGAAAACAGCGGAGGUAAAAGCGGGGCCUCCAUGCGAGGGCCCCCGGGGACGGCGGCGGCGCUGGCCCACGGAGGAGCCGGGCGAGCCGAGACCCCGCCUAGAGGCGAACACGCGGCAUCGGCGUCACGAAGGGGGGCGGGGUCUGUCCCCAGAGCGCGGCCCGCGGCACCUGACUCCCCAGAAGCUGCGACUCACCGGCCCGCAGGCUCUUGGACUGGAACCUUCCGGGCAGAGCAGUGCUGUACCCCUCUUCAUCUCCGCAAGCGUGCGCCUGCGGGUAGAGGUACACGCCUGCGGGCGCACGGAGGCACCUGCAGGCACAGGUACGGGCCUGCUGGCACACGGACUUACCUGCUGGUACACGGACGUGCCUGCGGGCACAGGUAUGUGCCUGCGGGCACACAGACGCUCUUGCGGGCACACAGACGCACCUGCAGGCACAGGUACGCACCUGCGAGCACAUGCACGCGCCUGCGACUACAGGGACUCACCUGCGGGCACAGGUACGCGCCUGCAAGCACACGUAGGCACCUGUGGGCACAGGUACGUGCCUGAGGGCACACGAACACACCUGUGGGCACACGGACGUGACUGCGGGCACAGGUACACGCCUGCGACCACACGGACUCACCUGCUGGCACACGGACGCACCUCUGGGCACACGGACGCACCUGCAGGCACAGGUACGCGCCUGGUGGCAAACGGACUCACCUGCUGGCACACGGACGUGCCUGCGGGCACAGGUACGCGCCUGCGAGCACACGGAGGCACCUGCGGGCACAUGUAUGUGCCUGCUGGCACACGGACUCACCUGCUGGCACACGGAGGCGCUUGUGGGCACAGGUACGCACCUGCGAGCACACGGAGGCACCUGCGGGCACAUGUAUGUACCUGCUGGCAAACGGACUCACCUGCUGGCACACGGACUCACCUGCUGGCACACGAAUGCGCCUGCGAACGCAGGGACGCACCUGCAGGCACAGGAAGGAACACGCCUGAAGCAGGAACACAUCAAAGAUGCUGCGGCUGCGCCCCUGCUGUGGCCUUGGCCCUGAGCUGGCACCUGGUGCGCCGCCCUACUGCAGGGAAAGGACAUGAGCCACCUCGUUCAGCUGCAGGGGGACGUUUCCACGCAGAACAGGGAAAUGACUGCUUCACCCGAAUCAGGUGCUGCACAGAAAGCUAAAGCAAGAAACUGACAAGUUCAUGGAGAAAU